GUGCUUGCUUAGGUAGCACAUAUACUACAACUGGAAUGAUACAGAAACGAUUAACAUGGCCCCUCCACAAGAUAACAUGCAAAUUCGUGAAGUGUUGCAUAUUAUU